rnacentral:rRNA from 1 species
AACGAACGCUGGCGGCAUGCCUAACACAUGCAAGUCGAACGAGACCUUCGGGUCUAGUGGCGCGCGGGUGCGUAACGCGUGGGAACCUGCCCUUAGGUUCGGAAUAACUCCCCGAAAGGGGUGCUAAUACCGGAUAAUGUCUUCGGACCAAAGAUUUAUCGCCUUUGGAUGGGCCCGCGUUGGAUUAGCUAGUUGGUAGGGUAAAAGCCUACCAAGGCGACGAUCCAUAGCUGGUCUGAGAGGAUGAUCAGCCACACUGGGACUGAGACACGGCCCAGACUCCUACGGGAGGCAGCAGUGGGGAAUAUUGGACAAUGGGCGAAAGCCUGAUCCAGCAAUGCCGCGUGAGUGAUGAGGGCCUUAGGGUUGUAAAGCUCUUUUACCCGGGAUGAUAAUGACAGUACCGGGAGAAUAAGCUCCGGCUAACUCCGUG